AGGAGGGGCUGAGUAGGUUACCAGGCAGGGGAAGGGAGAUACCAGGAUGAUGGUUUUGGCCCAGGUGGUUUUACUGAGCUGGCAGGGGAGAUGCUACUACACUGUCAUUCAAGGUCAAGAAGAAAAGCAAGUAAAAGCCUGUUGUCUGACUGGCAGAAGCACAGAAAAGAGCCCUCCAGAGGUCAUUCACCUGAAUACAGAUUGAAGAAAUGCUUUCCCUACUUCAGCAUCAAAUUUCCAUUCGACAAGGAUGAGAAAUGCAUGAAACAAAGACUGUGUGACCACCCUGUGAUGACCCUACAGAUGGCAGCUGCUGGAACUCUGCUGAAACAGGCUAUUAAGGUAGUUUAGACCAGCUGAACAGACACUGAUAUAAUUUGGUGUGUCUAAUUUGUUAACAUCAUAUGCCAUUCUAAUACAAUCCACUACCCGCUGACAGAUGAUGCGAUAAGCAGGGUGACAGCAGCUCAAAACAUGGUUCUAUUGAAGACUAAUGUACCAAAUUUGAAUCCCACAAGGGAGAAAUCAUUCUUGCCAGUGGAAAAACUUGCAUUAAAUCUUUCUGUUAAUUCUUAGAGGAAAAUAGCAAAGAGCCCUACACUGGGAAGUGACAGGUUAGGAUUGCUCUCAAGUAGCUGUUGAUGGGUUUGUGUACACGCAUGAAAUCUAUGACAACAAUAAAUGGUCCAGAAUGAAUGCAGCAAUGAUUGGGAUGGAUGACAGUUCCUAGCUGUUGUAGUGAAGGGAGUUCUGCACCUAUAAAAAGCUAUUCCCUUCCAUUAACAUCAUCGGAGAGUUGAUAAAUAUAAAAAGGCCAAAGUGAGUUUGUCUCGCGUUUUGUCUUGCCUUCCUUACAACUCUAGGCAUUAAGAGAAAUGGAAGGAGGUUGACAAUGAAAUUAGACCCCUAUCUUGGAGAAGACUGGGUAAUUGUUGUUAAAAAGACAAUGGGUCCUCUAGGGUUGAUUACUUUUACAGUCCAUUUAUGUGAUGAUGUUUUCCUGCUCAUUUUUGGCUGUUGAGGAAAAGGUGCAGAGCUACAAGAGUGAUGUCAUGAUGAACCCAUGAGGACACUACACCAUGAUACAGGUGAUUUUUGUCCGGCUCCUAUCUAUGUAAUUAGGGACCUACCUAAA